AAUAGAUACUCCCCCUUCCCAUCAGGCAGUCUUUGUAACUAGCUUCACUCUUAUAGUAUAUGGGUGGGAGCGUAAUGCUGCCAUGAAUAAUUAAUCAAGAAAAGAAAAUUACGGUAAGUAUGAAGCAAAUUUUCCUUUUCCUGACCAUUAUUCAUGGCAGCAUUUACUGAUGGGUAAUACCCAAGCAGAAUAUAUAGAGGGAAGGACAGAGUUCAAAAACAGCCAAUAGUUAUAAAAACAUUAUUGGGCUGCUUAAACCUUAGAAGACUUUAAAAAAGCCAAACCAGUAAUCAAUAGGAUAUUGAUAUAAAACCUGUUCAGACAAGGUAAUUUACCCUAACGGCUGCAAGGUCUGCAACCUCCUGGCAUUCAAGUGUCUGAAAUGGCCAGAUAGGAAUUAAGGCCACGACAGCCAAACAUAGAGAAGGAACAAGGCUAAACAAACUCUCGUAAUCCAUUUUGCGAUGGAUUAAAAAAAAUAAAUGUUCUUUUCUGAUAUAAAUUUAAAACCAAUGGAUGACAUCAAAUCAGAACCUUGAUAAAGGCAUAACUUUC